rnacentral:rRNA from 1 species
UGGGAACGUACCUUUCGGUUCGGAAUAAUACAGGGAAACUUGUACUAAUACCGGAUACGCCCUUCGGGGGAAAGAUUUAUCGCCGAUAGAUCGGCCCGCGUCUGAUUAGCUAGUUGGUGAGGUAACGGCUCACCAAGGCAACGAUCCGUAGCUGGUCUGAGAGGAUGAUCAGCCACACUGGGACUGAGACACGGCCCAGACUCCUACGGGAGGCAG